GAUGAAGAACGCAGCGAAAUGCGAUAAGUAGUGUGAAUUGCAGAAUUCAGUGAAUCAUCGAAUCUUUGAACGCACAUUGCGCCUUCUAGUAUUCUGGGAGGCAUGCCUGUUUGAGCGUCAUUUGUACCUUCAAGCUUUGCUUGGUGUUGGGUGUUUGUCUCGCCUUUGCGUGUAGACUCGCCUUAAAAUAAUUGGCAGCCGGCGUAUUGAUUUCGGAGCGCAGUACAUCUCGCGCUUUGCACUCAUAACGACGACGUCCAAAAGUACAUUUUUACACUCUUGACCUCGGAUCAGGUAGGGAUACCCGCUGAACUUAAGCAUAUCAAUAAGCGGAGGA
rnacentral:misc_RNA from 1 species